GAUGAACGCUAGCGGCAGGCCUAACACAUGCAAGUCGAGGGAGAGGUUACCUUCGGGUCACCAAAACCGGCGCACGGGUGCGUAACGCGCAUACAAUCUGCCUUUCACAUAGGGAUAGCCCGAAGAAAUUUGGAUUAAUACCUAAUGGUAUAUAAGAGCGGCAUCGUUUUUAUCUUAAAGCUACGGUGGUGAAAGAUGAGUAUGCGUUCUAUUAGCUAGUUGGAGAGGUAACGGCUCCCCAAGGCGACGAUAGAUAGGGGUUCUGAGAGGGAUGUCCCCCACACUUGUACUGAGAUACAGACCAGACUCCUACGGGACGCAGCAGUGAGGAAUAUUGGACAAUGGUCGGAAGUCUGAUCCAGCCAUGCCGCGUGCAGGAUGAAGGUCCUAUGGAUUGUAAACUGCUUUUGUAAGGGAAGAAUAAGGAGUACGUGUACUUUGAUGACGGUACCUUACGAAUAAGCAUCGGCUAACUCCGUG
rnacentral:rRNA from 1 species